rnacentral:rRNA from 1 species
UCGGUCUGGUGGAAACUGGCGCACGGGUGAGUAACGCGUGGGGAUAUGCCCAAGGGUACGGAAUAACCGCUGGAAACGGCGGCUAAUACCGUAUGUUCCCUGAGGGGGAAAGCUUCGGCGCCCUUGGAUUAUCCCGCGUCCGAUUAGCUUGUUGGUGAGGUAACGGCUCACCAAGGCGACGAUCGGUAGCUGGUCUGAGAGGACGAUCAGUCACACUGGGACUGAGACACGGCCCAGACUCCUACGGGAGGCAGCAGUGGGGAAUAUUGGACAAUGGGGGCAACCCUGAUCCAGCCAUGCCGCGUGAGUGAAGAAGGCCCUAGGGUUGUAAAGCUCUUUCAGCGGGGAAGAUGAUGACGGUACCCGCAGAAGAAGCCCCGGCUAACUCCGUGCCAGCAGCCGCGGUAAUACGGAGGGGGCUAGCGUUGCUCGGAAUUACUGGGCGUAAAGGGCGCGUAGGCGGAUUUUUUAG